rnacentral:rRNA from 1 species
AGGCGGCCAUUUAAGUUGGAUGUGAAAGCCUACAGCUCAACUGUAGAACUGCAUCCAAAACUAUUUGGCUAGAGUGUGGGAGAGGAAGAUGGAAUUAGUUGUGUAGGGGUAAAAUCCGUAGAGAUAACUAGGAAUACCAAAAGCGAAGGCAAUCUUCUGGAACAUUACUGACGCUGAGGCGCGAAAGCGUGGGGAGCAAACAGGAUUAGAUACCCUGGUAGUCCACGCCCUAAACGAUGAAUGUUAGUCGUCGGGUAGCUAGUCUAUUCGGUGAUGCAGCUAACGCAUUAAACAUUCCGCCUGGGGAGUACGGUCGCAAGAUUAAAACUCAAAGGAAUAGACGGGGACCCGCACAAGUGGUGGAGCAUGUGGUUUAAUUCGAAGAUACGCGAAGAACCUUACCUAGCCUUGACAUAUAUUAGAACUCCGCAGAGAUGCAGAGGUGCCUUCGGGAGCUUUUAUACAGGUGCUGCACGGCUGUCGUCAGCUCGUGUCGUGAGAUGUUGGGUUAAGUCCCGCAACGAGCGCAACCCUCGUC